rnacentral:lncRNA from 1 species
AGAAAUUUUAUUUUGGCCAGGAGCUGAAGUUGGUUGUUUAGUAGUAGUAGUUUGAGUAGUGACCGAAGUAGUAGUCUGGUGUGGUAAUUGGGGCAGCUGUGGUCUCUUGUGGAGCUGGGGAAGACGGUGGAGCUGGUGUAGUUGCAGAAGGUGUGGGUGGGGCAGCUGUGGUCUCUGGUGGAGCUGAGGAAGAUGGUGGAGCUUGUGUAGUUGCAGAAGGUGUGGGUGGGGCAGCUGUGGUGUCUUGUGGAGCUGGGGAAUUCACUGGUGCUAAUGUAGCUACAGAAGAGCUUGUGUUAACAUUUUCUCUUGAAGAUAUGGUGGUGGCAUUCUGGGGAAGAAAAGUCACAUUUGGAAGGGUAGUAAUUUUGGUGGCUGCUUAGGCCUACAGCGUUUGUGCAGACAUUUAUAGGACUUUCUAAUGAACGGCUUCUGGUGAGCUAGCAGUCCAGGAU